GACGAACGCUGGCGGCGUGCCUAAUACAUGCAAGUAGAACGCUGAAGGAGGAGCUUGCUUCUCCGGAUGAGUUGCGAACGGGUGAGUAACGCGUAGGUAACCUGCCUGGUAGCGGGGGAUAACUAUUGGAAACGAUAGCUAAUACCGCAUAAGAGUAGAUAUCGCAUGAUAGCUGCUUAAAAGGUGCAAUUGCACCACUACCAGAUGGACCUGCGUUGUAUUAGCUAGUUGGUGAGGUAACGGCUCACCAAGGCGACGAUACAUAGCCGACCUGAGAGGGUGAUCGGCCACACUGGGACUGAGACACGGCCCAGACUCCUACGGGAGGCAGCAGUAGGGAAUCUUCGGCAAUGGACGGAAGUCUGACCGAGCAACGCCGCGUGAGUGAAGAAGGUUUUCGGAUCGUAAAGCUCUGUUGUAAGAGAAGAACGAGUGUGAGAGUGGAAAGUUCACACUGUGACG
rnacentral:rRNA from 1 species